CUAGUACUCCCUCCGUCCGGAAUUAUUUGUCGCAGAAAUGGAUAAAAAUGGAUGUAUCUACAACUAAAAUAUGUCUAGAUACAUCCAUUUCUCCGACAAGUAUUUUUGGACGGAGGGAGUAGUAU
rnacentral:pre_miRNA from 1 species